rnacentral:rRNA from 1 species
UGGGGAAUAUUGGACAAUGGGCGCAAGCCUGAUCCAGCCAUACCGCGUGGGUGAAGAAGGCCUUCGGGUUGUAAAGCCCUUUUGUUGGGAAAGAAAUCCUGUCGGUUAAUAACCGGUAGGGAUGACGGUACCCAAAGAAUAAGCACCGGCUAACUUCGUGCCAGCAGCCGCGGUAAUACGAAGGGUGCAAGCGUUACUCGGAAUUACUGGGCGUAAAGCGUGCGUAGGUGGUUGUUUAAGUCUGCUGUGAAAGCCCUGGGCUCAACCUGGGAAUUGCAGUGGAUACUGGGCGACUAGAGUGUGGUAGAGGACAGUGGAAUUUCCGGUGUAGCAGUGAAAUGCGUAGAGAUCGGAAGGAACAUCUGUGGCGAAGGCGACUGUCUGGGCCAACACUGACACUGAGGCACGAAAGCGUGGGGAGCAAACA